rnacentral:rRNA from 1 species
AUCUCUGUAGAGUCUGCAUAUCAAUAAGCGGAGGAAAAGAAACUAACUAAGGAUUCCCUUAGUAACGGCGAGUGAAGCGGGAAGAGCUCAAAUUUGAAAGUCUUCAAGGUUCUACCUUGACGAAUUGUAGUUUAAAGAAGUGUUUUCUGUUAGAUGAGUAGCAAAAGUUCCUUGGAAUGGGACAUCAUAGAGGGUGAGAAUCCCGUAUUUGGUUAUUCAUUCUAGCUUUGUGAUACACUUUCAAAGAGUCGGAUUGUUUGGGAAUGCAGUCCAAAAUGGGUGGUAAAUUUCAUCUAAAGCUAAAUAUUGGCGAGAGACCGAUAGCGAACAAGUACCGUGAGGGAAAGAUGAAAAGAACUUUGAAAAGAGAGUUAAACAGUACGUGAAAUUGUCAAAAGGGAAGCGUUUGACACCAGUGUUGUUUUUCCGAAAAUCAAUUACGAAUGGCUUGAUUUUGUGUUGUAUUGACCUUAUCAGCUUUCUGCACUUUUUUCGAGUCUUUCUUAAUGCACUUUUCGGUUAACAAGUCAACAUCAAUUUCUUUUGUUGUAAAAGAGUAGUUCGGAAGGUGGCUUUCUUUUCGGAGAAAGUGUUUAUAGCCCUAUAGCUUCUACAAUCGGAGAGAUUGAGGUCUGCAGCGUAGAUCCUUCGGGGUUAGAUACAUUUGUGCUAAGUUGUAGCUUUUCAUAGACAACUUGUUGACUAUGUUUAGUCAUGCGGCUUACUCGCUUAUGCUAUUUUACCUACGCUUAGGAUGUUGACUGAUAUGUAGUCGUA